rnacentral:RNase_P_RNA from 1 species
GCGGGACAGAUCAUCGCUGCCGUGGCAACACGGGGGAGGAAAGUCCGGGCUCCAUAGAGCAGAAUGCCGGCUAACGGCCGGGCGGCGUGAGCCGACGGACAGUGCAACAGAGAGCUGAACCGCCGAUGGCCCCGCAAGGGGAUCAGGUAAGGGUGAAAAGGUGCGGUAAGAGCGCACCGCGGCGCUGGUAACAGUCGCUGGCAGGGUAAACCCCAUUCGGAGCAAGACCAAGCAGUAGGCGUUGAGGUUGCUCGCUGAGUCUACGGGUAGGUUGCUGGAGCGCGGUAGUAAUGCCGCGCCUAGAGGAAUGAUGAUCACGGGUGGCAACACCCGGACAGAACCCGGCUUAUCGGCCCGCUUC